rnacentral:rRNA from 1 species
UAGGGAAUCUUCCGCAAUGGGCGAAAGCCUGACGGAGCAACGCCGCGUGAGUGAUGAAGGUCUUCGGAUCGUAAAACUCUGUUAUUAGGGAAGAACAAAUGUGUAAGUAACUAUGCACGUCUUGACGGUACCUAAUCAGAAAGCCACGGCUAACUACGUGCCAGCAGCCGCGGUAAUACGUAGGUGGCAAGCGUUAUCCGGAAUUAUUGGGCGUAAAGCGCGCGUAGGCGGUAUUUUAAGUCUGAUGUGAAAGCCCACGGCUCAACCGUGGAGGGUCAUUGGAAACGGGAAAACUUGAGUGCAGAAGAGGAAAGUGGAAUUCCAGGUGUAGCGGUGAAAUGCGCAGAGAGAUGGAGGAACACCAGGGGCGAAGGCGACUUUCUGGGCUGUAACUGACGCUGAUGUGCGAAGGCGUGGGGAUCAAACAGG